AUUGAACGCUGGCGGCAGGCUAAACACAUGCAAGUCGAGCGAGCGGCGGACGGGUGAGUAAUGUCUGGGAAACUGCCUGAUGGAGGGGGAUAACUACUGGAAACGGUAGUUAAAACCGCAUACCAUCAGAUGUGCCCAGAUGGGAUUAGCUAGUAGGUGGGGUAAUGGGUCACCUAGGCGACGAUCCCUAGCUGGUCUGAGAGGAUGACCAGCCACCAUGGAAUGUAGACACGGUCCAGACUCCGAUGGGAGGCAGCAGUGGGGAAUAUUGCACAAUGGGCGCAAGCCUGAUGCAGCCAUGCCGCUUGUGUGAAGAAGGCUUUCGGGUUGUAAAGCACUUUCAGCGAGGAGGCGUUACUCGCAGAAGAAGCACCGGCUAACUCCGUGCCAGCAGCCGCGGUAAUUC
rnacentral:rRNA from 1 species